rnacentral:rRNA from 1 species
AGUGAACGCUGGCGGUAGGCCUAACACAUGCAAGUCGAACGGCAGCACAGUAAGAGCUUGCUCUUACGGGUGGCCAGUCGCGGACGGGUGAGGUAUACAACCGAAUCUACUUUUUCGUGGGGGAUAAGGUAGGGAAACUUACGCUCAUAUCGCAUACGACCCACCGGUGAAAGCAGGGGAACUUCGGACCUGUCGCGAUUGAAUGAGCCGAUGUCGGAUUAGCUAGUUGGCGGGGUAAAGGCCCACCAAGGCGACGAUCCGUAGCUGGACGGUGAGGAGGAUAGGCGGCAUGGGAGGUGAGACAGCGACCAGGCUCCUGCGGGAGGCAGCAGUGUGGAAUAUGGGACAGUGGUCGCAAGCCUGAUCCAGUCAUACGGCGUGGGUGAAGAAGGCGUUCGGGUUGUAAAGCCCGUUUGUGGGGAAAGAAAAGCAGCAGGUUAAUACCCCGCUUUUCUGACGGUACCCAAAGAAUAAGCACCGGCUAACUUCGUG